rnacentral:rRNA from 1 species
AAUCAACGCUGGCGGCGUGCCUCAGACAUGCAAGUCGAACGCGAAAUUUCCCUUCGGGGAGAAAGUAGAGUGGCGCACGGGUGAGUAACACGUAGGUAAUUUGCCUUCGGGUGGAGAAUAACAGCCGGAAACGGCUGCUAAUACCGCAUAAUGCAGCGGCUCGACAUCGAGACAGUUGUUAAAGCGGGGGAUCGCAAGACCUCGCGCCUGAAGAGAAGCCUGCGGCAGAUUAGCUAGUUGGUAAGGUAAUGGCUUACCAAGGCAACGAUCUGUAACCGGCCUGAGAGGGCGGUCGGUCACACUGACACUGACAUACGGGUCAGACUCCUACGGGAGGCAGCAGUCGGG